AUUGAACGCUGGCGGCAGGCCUAACACAUGCAAGUCGAGCGAGCGGCGGAAGGGUGAGUAAUGUAUGGGGACUGCCCGAUAGAGGGGGAUAACGACUGGAAACGGUGGCUAAUACCGCAUACGGUCGGAUAACCUAUAUGGGAUUAGCUAGUAGGUAAGGUAAUGGCUUACCUAGGCGAAGAUCCCUAGCUGGUAGGAGAGGAUGAUCAGCCACACUGGGACUGAGACACGGCCCAGAGUCCUACGGAGGCAGCGGUGGGGAGUAUUGCACAAUGGGCGCAAGCCUGAUGCAGCCAUGCCGCGUGUAUGAAGAAGGCCCUAGGGUUGUAAAGUACUUUCAGUCGGGAGGCGUUACCGACAGAAGAAGCACCGGCUAACUCCGUGCCAGCAGCCGCGGUAAUUC
rnacentral:rRNA from 1 species